GAUUGAGAGCUUGCUCUCAAGAAGUUAGCGGCGGACGGGUGAGUAACACGUGGGUAACCUGCCCAUAAGACUGGGAUAACUCCGGGAAACCGGGGCUAAUACCGGAUAACAUUUUGAACUGCAUGGUUCGAAAUUGAAAGGCGGCUUCGGCUGUCACUUAUGGAUGGACCCGCGUCGCAUUAGCUAGUUGGUGAGGUAACGGCUCACCAAGGCAACGAUGCGUAGCCGACCUGAGAGGGUGAUCGGCCACACUGGGACUGAGACACGGCCCAGACUCCUACGGGAGGCAGCAGUAGGGAAUCUUCCGCAAUGGACGAAAGUCUGACGGAGCAACGCCGCGUGAGUGAUGAAGGCUUUCGGGUCGUAAACUCUGUUGUUAGGGAAGAACAAGUGCUAGUUGAAUAAGCUGGCACCUUGACGGUACCUAACCAGAAAGCCACGGCUAACUACGUGCCAGCAGCCGCGGUAAUACGUAGGUGGCAAGCGUUAUCCGGAAUUAUUGGGCGUAAAGCGCGCGCAGGUGGUUUCUUAAGUCUGAUGUGAAAGCCCCGGCUCACCGUGGAGGUCAUUGGAAACUGGGAGACUUGAGUGCAGAAAGGAAAGUGGAUUCCAUGUGUAGCGGUGAAUGCGUAGAGAUAUGGAGGAACACCAGUGGCGAAGGCGACUUUCUGGUCUGUAACUGACCUGAGGCGCGAAGCGUGGGGAGCAACAGGAUAGAUACCUGGUAGUCCCGCCGUAACGAUGAUGCU
rnacentral:rRNA from 1 species